rnacentral:rRNA from 1 species
UACGAACCGUCCAAACGUUAUUCGGAAUUACUGGGCUUAAAGGGUACGUAGGCGGCCCUGUCAGUCGGGUGUGAAAUCCCACGGCUCAACCGUGGAACUGCGCCCGAUACUGCAGGGCUUGAGGGAGACAGAGGUAAGCGGAACUGAUGGUGGAGCGGUGAAAUGCGUUGAUAUCAUCAGGAACACCAGUGGCGAAAGCGGCUUACUGGGUCUCUUCUGACGCUGAGGUACGAAAGCUAGGGGAGCGAAGGGG